CAGCCGCCGCGGUAAUUCGAAGGUGGCAAGCGUUAUUCGGAUUUACUGGGCGUACAGGGAGAGUAGGCGGUUCGGUAAGCCCUCUGUGAAAUCUUCAGGCUUAACCUGGAAAAGUCGGAGGGGACUGCUGGGCUAGAGGACGGGAGAGGAGCGCGGAAUUCCCGGUGUAGCGGUGAAAUGCGUAGAGAUCGGGAGGAAGGCCGGUGGCGAAGGCGGCGCUCUGGAACGUUUCUGACGCUGAGGCUCGAAAGCGUGGGGAGCAAACAGGAUUAGAUACCCUGGUAGUCCACGCCUUAAACUAUGAAUACUAAGUGUCGGCGGGUUACCGCCGGUGCCGCAGCUAACGCAUUAAGUAUUCCGCCUGGGAAGUACGGCGGCAAGGUUGAAACUUAAAGGAAUUGACGG
rnacentral:rRNA from 1 species